rnacentral:tRNA from 1 species
GCCCAGUGGCUCAGUUGGUUAGAGCGCCGCCCUGUCACGGCGGAGGUCACGGGUUCGAGUCCCGUCUGGGUCG